GAUGAACGCUGGCGGCGUGCCUAAUACAUGCAAGUCGAGCGAACAGAUGAGGAGCUUGCUCCUCUGACGUUAGCGGCGGACGGGUGAGUAACACGUGGAUAACCUACCUAUAAGACUGGGAUAACUUCGGGAAACCGGAGCUAAUACCGGAUAAUAUAUUGAACCGCAUGGUUCAAUAGUGAAAGACGGUUUUGCUGUCACUUAUAGAUGGAUCCGCGCCGCAUUAGCUAGUUGGUAAGGUAACGGCUUACCAAGGCGACGAUGCGUAGCCGACCUGAGAGGGUGAUCGGCCACACUGGAACAGAGACACGGUCCAGACUCCUACGGGAGGCAGCAGUAGGGAAUCUUCCGCAAUGGGCGAAAGCCUGACGGAGCAACGCCGCGUGAGUGAUGAAGGUCUUCGGAUCGUAAAACUCUGUUAUUAGGGAAGAACAAAUGUGUAAGUAACUAUGCACGUCUUGACGGUACCUAAUCAGAAAGCCACGGCUAACUACGUG
rnacentral:rRNA from 1 species